ACAGAGGUCCCAAGCGUUGUUCGGAUUCACUGGGCGUAAAGGGUGCGUAGGUGGCGGGGUAAGUCGGAUGUGAAAUCUCCGAGCUCAACUCGGAAACUGCAUUGGAAACUACCUUGCUCGAGGGUUGGAGGGGGGACUGGAAUACUUGGUGUAGCAGUGAAAUGCGUAGAUAUCAAGUGGAACACCAGUGGCGAAGGCGAGUCCCUGGACAACUCCUGACACUGAGGCACGAAAGCUAGGGGAGCAAACAGGAUUAGAUACCCUGGUAGUCCUAGCUGUAAACGGUGCACGUUUGCUGUAAAAGGAUUCGACCCCUUUUGUGGCGUAGCUAACGCGUUAAACGUGCCGCCUGGGAAGUACGGUCGCAAGAUUA
rnacentral:rRNA from 1 species